rnacentral:rRNA from 1 species
UACGAAGGGUGCAAGCGUUAAUCGGAAUUACUGGGCGUAAAGGGCGCGUAGGCGGCCUGCUAAGUCGAACGUGAAAUCCCUGGGCUCAACCCAGGAACUGCGUCCGAUACUGGUUGGCUUGAAUCCGGGAGAGGGAUGUGGAAUUCCAGGUGUAGCGGUGAAAUGCGUAGAUAUCUGGAGGAACACCGGUGGCGAAGGCGACAUCCUGGACCGGCAUUGACGCUGAGGCGCGAAAGCCAGGGGAGCAAACGGG